rnacentral:tRNA from 1 species
GCGGAGAAAGUGAGUAAUUCUUUGUCUUGCGCCCUCCGAAGGCAAAGGUCGUGCGUUCGAAUCGCGCCGGGUGCGCCA